rnacentral:rRNA from 1 species
GAUGAACGCUGGCCGCGUGCCUAAUACAUGCAAGUCGAGCGAACGGACGAGAAGCUUGCUUCUCUGAUGUUAGCGGCGGACGGGUGAGUAACACGUGGAUAACCUACCUAUAAGACUGGGAUAACUUCGGGAAACCGGAGCUAAUACCGGAUAAUAUUUUGAACCGCAUGGUUCAAAAGUGAAAGACGGUCUUGCUGUCACUUAUAGAUGGAUCCGCGCUGCAUUAGCUAGUUGGUAAGGUAACGGCUUACCAAGGCAACGAUGCAUAGCCGACCUGAGAGGGUGAUCGGCCACACUGGAACUGAGACACGGUCCAGACUCCUACGGGAGGCAGCAGUAGGGAAUCUUCCGCAAUGGGCGAAAGCCUGACGGAGCAACGCCGCGUGAGUGAUGAAGGUCUUCGGAUCGUAAAACUCUGUUAUUAGGGAAGAACAUAUGUGUAAGUAACUGUGCACAUCUUGACGGUACCUAAACAGAAAGCCGCGGCUAACUACGUG